rnacentral:rRNA from 1 species
CGCGUCUGUAGCAAUACAGAUGGCGCACGGCGCACGGGUGCGUAACACGUGGGUAAUCUGCCCUUCGAUGGGGAAUAACUCCGGGAAACCGAAGCUAAUUCCGCAUAACAUUCCUUGAACCUCGGUUUGGGGACUCAAAGCCGUAAGGCGUCGGAGGAGGAACCCGCGCACGAUUAGUUAGUUGGCAGGGUAACGGCCUACCAAGACUUUGAUCGUUAGCUGGUCUGAGAGGAUGGCCAGCCACACUGGAACUGAGACACGGUCCAGACUCCUACGGGAGGCAGCAGUGGGGAAUCUUGCACAAUGGGCGAAAGCCUGAUGCAGCGACGCCGCGUGGGGGAUGAAGCUUUUCGGAGUGUAAACCCCUUUCGACCCGGACGAAUGCCCCGCAAGGGGACUGACGGUACGGGUAUAAGAAGCCCCGGCUAACUACGU